AUGGUAGGAUAGAGGCCUACCAUGGUUUUAACGGGUAACGGGGAAUUAGGGUUCGAUUCCGGAGAGGGAGCCUGAGAAACGGCUACCACAUCCAAGGAAGGCAGCAGGCGCGCAAAUUACCCAAUCCCGACACGGGGAGGUAGUGACAAUAAAUAACAAUAUGGGGCUCUUACGAGUCUUGUAAUUGGAAUGAGUACAAUUUAAAUCUCUUAACGAGGAACAAUUGGAGGGCAAGUCUGGUGCCAGCAGCCGCGGUAAUUCCAGCUCCAAUAGCGUAUAUNAAAGUUGUUGCAGUUAAAAAGCUCGUAGUUGAAUUUCGGGAUUUAUCCGUCGGUCGGGCUUUUGGGUCUGUACUGGCGUGAUGGAUUCCUACCUUCUGAAUAACCGGCAUGUCAUUAAUUUGGUGCGCCGGGGAAGCAGGACUGUUACCUUGAAAAAAUUAGAGUGCUUAAAGCAGGCUUAUGCCUGAAUACAUUAGCAUGGAAUAAUGAAAUAGGACGGCAUGGUUCUAUUUUGUUGGUUUCUAGGAUUACCGUAAUGAUUAAUAGGGAUAGUUGGGGGCAUUAGUAUUCAAUUGUCAGAGGUGAAAUUCUUGGAUUUAUUGAAGACUAACUUCUGCGAAAGCAUUUGCCAAGGAUGUUUUCAUUAAUCAAGAACGAAAGUUAGGGGAUCGAAGACGAUCAGAUACCGUCGUAGUCUUAACCAUAAACUAUGCCGACUAGGGAUCGGACGAUGUUAAUUUUUUAAUGACUCGUUCGGCGCCUUACGGGAAACCAAAGUGUUUGGG
rnacentral:rRNA from 1 species